AACGCACAUUGCGCCCCUUGGUAUUCCGAGGGGCAUGCCUGUUCGAGCGUCAUUAAACACCUUCAAGCCUGGCUUGGUAUUGGGGCCCGCAGCUCGCGGCCCUUAAAAUCAGUGGCGGUGCCGUCUGGCUCUCAGCGUAGUAAUUACUCUCGCUACAGGGUCCGGCGGUGGCUGCCAGAACUCCAACUUUCUAAGUUUGACCUCGGAUCAGGUAGGGAUACCCGCUGAACUUAA
rnacentral:misc_RNA from 1 species